AUUGAACGCUGGCGGCAGGCUUAACACAUGCAAGUCGAGCGGAUGAUGGGAGCUUGCUCCUUGAUUCAGCGGCGGACGGGUGAGUAAUGCCUAGGAAUCUGCCUGGUAGUGGGGGACAACGUUUCGAAAGGAACGCUAAUACCGCAUACGUCCUACGGGAGAAAGCAGGGGACCUUCGGGCCUUGCGCUAUCAGAUGAGCCUAGGUCGGAUUAGCUUGUUGGUGAGGUAAUGGCUCACCAAGGCGACGAUCCGUAACUGGUCUGAGAGGAUGAUCAGUCACACUGGAACUGAGACACGGUCCAGACUCCUACGGGAGGCAGCAGUGGGGGAUAUUGGACAAUGGGCGAAAGCCGGAUCCAGCCAUGCCGCGUGUGUGAAGAAGGUCUUCGGAUUGUAAAGCACUUUAAGUUGGGAGGAAGGGUUGUAGAUUAAUACUCUGCAAUUUUGACGUUACCGACAGAAUAAGCACCGGCUAACUCUGUGCCAGCCGCCGCAGUAACAC
rnacentral:rRNA from 1 species